rnacentral:lncRNA from 1 species
AGGCUAGGGGUAGAAUGGGAGCUGUAGCUGCUGGCCUACGCCACACCUGCAGCAACACGGGAUCCGAGCUGCAUCUGCAACUUACACCACAGCUCACAGCAAUGUCGGAUCCUUAACCCACUGAGCGCGACCAGGGAUUGAACCUGUGUCCCCAUGGAUGCUAGCUGCAUUCGUUAACCACUGAACCACAACAGGAACUCCCAGAUUCUUCCUCUUGAUCCCUAGCGCUGAACCUUGACCUCUGAAUCCUGGGGCCAAUGAGCCUCCUCUUUCUACUUGGGCUCCAUCUCCAGUGUUCAGGGCAUGUUUAGGGGAGUCAGUAGAUCCAUAGCAACCCAGCCUGCUUUCUUUCACAUCACCUGUGACGUCUGCCUGCCUUUGGUCAUGCUUGAGUCCAGAAUUUAGAACUAUUAUUAGGAGAUCAUUUGAUACAACCUUUUGUAUCACUGCUGAAAAUGGAACCUCUAGUUACUAACAUUGUUUGGAAUUUUGCAUUUAUGUUCAUGAAUGAUUCUGGCCAUUCACUUUUCUUUCUUAGAAUGUCCAGUUUAUUCUGGUCUUACUGAAUGUCUGGGGAACCGGUCUCACUUUUUUUUUUCUAAUUCCAUGGAAGAGCACCUACUAUGUUGACCAGUUGGUUUCUUCAAGUUUGGAUAGAAUUGGUUAGUCAAGGCAUUUGGAGUUAGACUUUUAUUUAUGGAAAGUUUUCAAAUUACAGAGCACAGAGCUCUGUCCCCAGUCCUGGGCCUCCUGUUCCCUUGCUGUGUAGACACACAUCAUGAGCUCCUUGAUUUUUCUCUCCGGGUUUCUCACUGUCUAUAGAGGUGUGAUAGACAGAGCUACUUUUUUUUUUUUUUUAAAGAAAAAACCCUCUGAAACCACCGACGUCUUCCCUCUGUCAUUGCAAUAGGAGAAGUUAGAAUUGCUCUCAGACGGGGCUUCAGAAUGAGGCAGACAUUGCAUCACGCUCACACUUGGCCUUUGCGGUGUCUGUUUUGGCUGUUCACACUCUUCCUGGUCCUCAGCUGUGUGAUGCGUUACUGUGUGUCUGUUAGUGAAGUAUUUCAACAGGACACAAUCACCAGGUGGAGCAAGGAUAAAAUAGAGAGUAACAGCCAUCAAAAUUGCAUCUCUAUUCACCUGCAUCUAAAAAUAGAGCAGUUGAAUAAAUGCACAGAAUUUCAGUGUUUUGCUGAGACUGGCCACGAGUGUUCAAUAAAGGACUGGAUCCCAAUAUGAUCUUAUGACACAGCACAGGAGCACCAGCAGGAUUGAUUUUCGGCAUCGUGGAAGACCAGAUGCAGGCUGAGACCUUGGCCCUGUCUAGGGGUGGCUGUCACUCCCGUGGGUUAGUUGUGAUCACUUCAUCAGCCCAUAUGCCAUCUACCUACUGCAGAACCGUCCCAGGUGCCUGCAGGAGGCCACACGGGGCACUGAGAGACUGACACCUCUGAGCUCUUGGGAAGCAGCACGGGGUCUGGGGCGGCCCAAGGCCCUGAACCUCUGUCAGUGAGCAAUGCACGUCACCCCCUGCCUGUGCUUCCCCUGCUGGGAAAUGCUGACCACGAGCCCUGGCUUUGCCUCUUCUCACCACUUCCUGCAGUGUUGAUCAGAGGGGUCUGAGCUUUCCGAGUUCACACUCCCCUCCAGGCAAGGACCACUGUGCUUUGCCUGGUGACCCUGGGCUCCUGUGUUCAGCUGUCCCUUCAGACUCUGGGUCUGUGUCUCCCAGUACCUCCCAUCCCCCGCCAGUCCCCCAGGACAUGGAAUUCAGCUUCUUUACUGUUUUCCACAGUAGAUCUACAUAUCUUCUCUGCUGUAGGUUUGAAGAGUCUGGGAACGGUUAGCAUCUUUGAUCUUGUUCCAAACAAACACUACUUAGUGUGAAUUUUCUGUCACCUUUGUCAUCUUGCACCGUCCCCAGGGUGAGGGUGGGAUUUCUCUCUCUCUGUUUCCCAAAUCCAAACUCCCCAUCCUCUAUCAAUCAGAACAAACAUUAAAAAAAAAAAGCAAUUAUUGGGAGUUCCCAUCGUGGCUUAGCAGGUUACAAACCCAACUAGGAUCCAUGAGGAUGUGGGUUCAAUCCCUGGCCUCCCUCAGUGGGUUAAGGAUCUGUCUGCUGUGACCCGUGGUAUAGGUCGAAGAUGUGGCUCAGAUCCCACGUCGAUGUGGCUGUGNNNNNNNNNNNNNNNNNNNNNNNNNNNNNNNNNNNNNNNNNNNNNNNNNNNNAAAAAAAAAAAAAAAAAAAAAAAAAAAAAAGAGCAAUUAUUACUGAGCAGUUCUCUGCAGUUUUAUCAACUAAAUAAGAUUCAUGUGUUUUUGAACAUUCAGGGAUCAUUUGAGAGGACUACAUGAUUGUUCUUGGCUUUAUGAGGUUAGCUUGGCUUGUGAAUGAAGUGUCCUGGAUUUAAAAAAAAACAACCCUCCGCAAAAUCCCCAAACAAACCCAUGUGUAAUGUAAAAAAUGUCCACCAGAGGGAGGACCAGCCCUCAGGCGUCAGCUGUGACUUGAGAUUCCAGCUCCAGCUUCCUCUUAAUGAUUGUGAAACCUAAGACUGUGAAAUUCUCAGGAAUUAUAUGAAAUUCUCAGUGUUAUAUAAAAUAUACAUUAAGAGAGGGUUAAAGACACUACUGUGAUGAUUUGCUAUGUAGAUAUGUAAAGUUGAAUUUAGUAAAAGAAAGAGCGAGAGAGCGAGCGAGAAUGAGAGAGAGGGGUGGAAUUGCUGACUGCUGAUGUGAAAUUUGCAGUGGUUUUUUCCAAAGGGCCUGAUCCAGGAGACAUGCAGCAGUGUGGAGGUGGGUGGGCCAAGGCUUUUGGCUCAUCCAGUGGCCCCCAAUUUUGUCUCCAUGUUAUUAUUAUUAUUAUUAAACUACUACUAGUAUGGUUUUGGACAUAGGAGUUUAAUUACCUGCUAGACCAUCCAGAUGGAAGUACACAGGGAAAGGAUGGAAGCAGGUCAGAGACUUAGGUGUGAGACAGGCAUUUGUAUACCAGUUGAGGUUUAUACAUUUACCAGACCAGACUGUUUUGUUUUUUUUUUUUAAACAUUUAUCAAAAAACUUCUUACCACAGAACAAAACAAUGUAUUUAAACACUUCCAGAAUUGUCCAAGUUAUUUUUAACACAUAAUUUCCCCCCACAUUUCUUGAAUUGUCAAUUUGUAUGUGUGUGGGUGUGUGGGGUUACCCCAAAUGCCCCAAUUUUUAUUUUAGUCCUUAGUUUAUACUUCUGGAACAGGGUGCCCUAAACUGAAACCUUUUUCUAAGCCUUGGGUUUAUAUCUGACCCCUGUAAAAUGUGUAUCUUUUAAUGAAAUUGUCGUUCUCAAAGAUCUGGGAAAAAAGUAUGCAUUAAACACCUAUAACUUCAUCUCCAUUUUGGUUAUAGUGUAGCAACUUAUCCUCUAACCCACAGAGGUCUGUCAAGUGAGUAAAGCUGAGUUUCUUGUUUCCUCCAUCAGUGGCCUGUGGCUUCUCUACUUCUUCAUUAACCACUCCUGGUUUGGGCGGAUUCUCACACAAAAUUGUCUUGGCAAAACCUCAGCCUGGCCCACGAUCAAGGGAUGCACCUGCAUUGAUCUUCUUGAAGGUAUUUUUCAAAUAUGUCCUUUCUUUGAAUUCCCUAUCUGUGUGUUGGACAUUUUCUUGAAACUCAGAAGGUUUUCUCUGUCCGAGAUGCUGGUUUCUCUGAAAAGGGCUGUUUUCCUCAUCCUUGACUGUGAACCGUUUCACCACCCCGUGAUGGCCGUUAAAGGAAGACUGUUUUCCUAACUGGUCCUCUGGGUGUUGGCUCACGGAUGUCUUCCUGAGCUGUUGGUGUGGGGGACGGUGGGUGGGUGUAGGCCUGCAUGGUGCUGAUUCUGAUGGGCUUUCUGUCUCAAAACUGCAACCUUGGUUUACCUGGAGGAGAGGGUGCUUCCUACGCUGCAGCCCCAGCCCGGGGGAUUGGGGGGUGGGUCCAGCUCUCAGGCAUCCAGCUGCCUCUCCCUGCCAUCCUGGUUACAGAAAGCGAGGGCAGCAGUCUGGGCAAGAGCUGGUCCCAUGGUGGGGGAGGGGGCUCGGUAGGCAUCCAGGUACUUCAGUGUCACAGGGCUGCCAUGACAAAUUACCACCCACUGAGUGGCUUAAGAUAACAGAAAUUGGUUCUCAUAAUUCUGGAAGCCAGAAAUCUGAAAUCCAGGUGUCCCCAGGGGUAUUCCUUCAGGUGGCCCUAAGGGAGAACCUAACCCCUGCCUCUGUCCCAGCUUCCAGCGUUGGCCCUCAGUCCUUGGCUUGUAUGUGCAUCGGUCCUGUCCCUGCAUAGUGGUCCACAUGACGUGGCUGUAUCUGUAACUUAUCACUUAUUAAUUAUGUUUAGGUUGUUUCCAGCGUUAUUUCAUUUUUUUGCUAUCACCAAUAAUGCUGCAAUGAUGAUUUGUGCAGAAAUAGAAGUAGAAUAAAUUCCUAGAUGUGGAAUUCCAGCAUCAAAGGCUGUGUGAUUCACAUUUUCGAUGGAUACAGUCAUCUGCCCUUAUCCACAGGGAUACUUUCCUAGAGGAAGCCUGAAGCCACAGAUAGUGUACACUAGGUUUUUUUCCUUCCCAUACAUACUGAUGAUAAAGUUUAGUUCAUAAAUUAGGCACAGUAGGGGAUUAACACUAAGUAACACUAAAAUAAACCAUUAUAACACGCUGCAGUACAAGCUUCGUGAAUAUGGUCUCUCUUUCUUGCUCUUAAAACAUCUUUCUGUACUCACCCUUCUGUGCUGAUGCGGGAUGAUGAAAUGCCUG